UUCAUUGAACUUGCAGCACCAUCAAGGCUCUCUCAGGAGUCAUUUGAAAAGUGGUUGUAUAUAAAGAAAAAUACCAUUUUCAGAUAUCCAGGACUUCCAGCAAGCAUGGUGAGACUGAUUUGGGCUGAGAACAUAGACCCACAUGACCCAGCUCUUCUGUGUGAGCCUCCUACUUGCAGCAGACCUGUUUGUGCUCUUGGAAAGAAAUCAAAAUACAGAAACAUUUGAAUUCAUCCUUAUCAGGGGCUGCCAAGACAGCAGUUACAGAACAGUAAGGUCAUGUCACACAGUCUGCAAAAAGCACAGAGUCUCUGUGCCUAAAUGCCAUCUCCAACUCUGAGAAGGAAUGGUGGACUGAUCCCGGCAAAUCCCAGGCCAUGUGCCAGCUUGCCAGAUGACUUUGGUAUGUGAUGCACUUUGUUCUUCAGGGCCCUAUUAAUUAAAUAAUGCUGCAGGAGUAGUGCUGGUUACUGGAAACAUAUUUUGUGAAGUGCCAAGUCAAGCAGGUAAAGUGUAAAAGAUGCACAAUUCUUCUAUAGGCUCAGAUCAUUUAAUGAAAUCUCAGGGCAAACAAGUGAUUUGUUGGAUUCAGGCCUGACAGAAACACUGCAGCUUAUCGCAUAUUUAAAGAAUAACAGUUGGAUUGGCAACACAUCUGAUACAUGUAAAAUGGAAAUGCCACAGGGUAGGAAUUUCAAAAGAAUUCUUGAUUCUACUUUCUGGUAAGAAAAAGUCUAAAAUUUUAAUGUGAACAAAACGUAGGAAUGAACACACAAAG
ensembl:lncRNA